GGGAGUGAAAUAGAACCUGAAACCCUGCACUUACAAGCUGUGGAAGCACAUUUCUUGUGUGACCGCGUACUUUUUGUAGAACGGGCCAACGAGUUACGUUAAGUAGCAAGGUUAAGCACUUAAGGUGCGGAGCCGUAGCGAAAGCGAGUUUUAACUGAGCGUUCAGUUACUUGACGUAGACCCGAAACCGGGCGACCUACCCAUGAGCAGGAUGAAGCGAAAGUAAAAUUUCGUGGAGGUCCGAACCCACGAGCGUUGAAAAGCUCGGGGAUGACUUGUGGGUAGCGGUGAAAUUCCAAUCGAGCCCGGAGAUAGCUGGUUCUCCCCGAAAUAGCUUUAGGGCUAGCCUCAAGGUGAGAGAUACGGAGGUAGAGCACUGAAUGUCCUAGGGGGUAUUGCACCUACCGAAGACUAUCAAACUCCGAAUGCCGUCAUCUUAUACUUGGGAGUCAGACUGUGGGUGAUAAGAUUCAUAGUCGAAAGGGCAACAGCCCAGAUCGUCAGCUAAGGUCCCUAAAUGUAAGUUAAGUGGUAAAGGAUGUGGGAUUGCACAGACAACCAGGAUGUUGGCUUAGAAGCAGCCACUCAUUCAAAGAGUGCGUAAUAGCUCACUGGUCGAGUGAUCCUGCGCCGAAGAUUUCCGGGGCUAAAACUUACUACCGAAGCUACGGCAUCAGUAAUGAUGGGUAGGGGAGCUUCCCAUACGGGUUGAAGCAUGACCGUAAGGACAUGUGGACAGUAUGGGAGUGAGAAUGUUGGCAUGAGUAGCGAGAUGUGGGUGAGAAUCCCACAGGCCGUAAACCCAAGGUUUCCAGGGGAAGGUUCGUCCGCCCUGGGUUAGUCGGGACCUAAGCUGAGGCCGAAAGGCGUAGGUGAUGGACAACAGGUUGAUAUUCCUGUACUACCGAUAACCGUUUGAGAGAAGGGAUGACACAGUAGGAUAAGCUAAGCACACUGUUGGUUAUGUGUGCCCAAGCAUUGAGGCAGUCAAAGUAGGCAAAUCCGCUUUGAUAAUGCUGGGAUGUGAUGGGGAGCGAAAUUUAGUAGCGAAGUAGCUGAUUUCACACUGUCAAGAAAAGUCUCUAUCGAGGUUAAAGGUACCCGUACCGCAAACCGACACAGGUGGGUGAGGAGAGUAUCCUAAGGCCAGCGAGAGAACUGUUGUUAAGGAACUCGGCAAAAUGACCCCGUAACUUAGGGAUAAGGGGUGCCACCAUCAGGUGGCCGCAGAGAAUAGGCCCAAGCGACUGUUUACCAAAAACAUAGGUUUCUGCUAAGUCGCAAGACGAUGUAUAGGAGCUGACGCCUGCCCGGUGCUGGAAGGUUAAGGGGAUCUGUUAGAGCAAUCGAAGCAGUGAACUUAAGCCCCAGUAAACGGCGGCCGUAACUAUAACGGUCCUAAGGUAGCGAAAUUCCUUGUCGGGUAAGUUCCGACCCGCACGAAAGGCGUAACGAUUUGGGCACUGUCUCAACAACAGACUCGGUGAAAUUGUAAUUCCGGUGAAGAUGCCGGAUACCUGCGACAGGACGGAAAGACCCCAUGGAGCUUUACUGUAGCUUGACAUUGGGUCUUGGUACUACAUGUACAGGAUAGGUGGGAGGCUUUGAAACCAGGACGCCAGUUUUGGCGGAGCCAUCCUUGGGAUACCACCCUUGUAGUACUGGGACUCUAACCAUAGGCCAUGAAUCUGGUCUUGGGACACUGUCAGGUGGGCAGUUUGACUGGGGCGGUCGCCUCCCAAAAGGUAACGGAGGCGCUCAAAGGUUCUCUCAGUACGGUCGGAAAUCGUACGUAGAGUGUAAAGGCAAAAGAGAGCUUGAUUGCAAGACAUACAGGUCGAGCAAGGAUGAAAAUCGGACUUAGUGAUCCGGUGGUU
rnacentral:rRNA from 1 species